rnacentral:misc_RNA from 1 species
GAUGAAGAACGUAGCGAAAUGCGAUAAGUAAUGUGAAUUGCAGAAUUCAGUGAAUCAUCGAAUCUUUGAACGCACAUUGCGCCCGCCAGUAUUCUGGCGGGCAUGCCUGUUCGAGCGUCAUUACAACCCUCAGGCCCCCGGGCCUGGCGUUGGGGAUCGGCGGAGCCCCCCGUGGGCACACGCCGUCCCCCAAAUACAGUGGCGGUCCCGCCGCAGCUUCCAUCGCGUAGUAGCUAACACCUCGCGACUGGAGAGCGGCGCGGCCACGCCGUAAAACACCCACCUCUUCUGAAGUUGACCUCGAAUCAGGUAGGAAUACCCGCUGAACUUAAGCAUAUCAAUAAGCGGAGGA